rnacentral:rRNA from 1 species
AUUGAACGCUGGCGGCAUGCCUUACACAUGCAAGUCGAACGGCAGCACGGGGCAACCUGGUGGCGAGUGGCGAACGGGUGAGUAAUGCAUCGGAACGUACCUUUCAGAGGGGGAUAACGUAGCGAAAGUUACGCUAAUACCGCAUAUUCUGUGAGCAGGAAAGCAGGGGAUCGCAAGACCUUGCGCUGAUUGAGCGGCCGAUGUCAGAUUAGCUAGUUGGUGAGGUAAAGGCUCACCAAGGCGACGAUCUGUAGCGGGUCUGAGAGGAUGAUCCGCCCCACUGGAACUGAGACACGGUCCAGACUCCUACGGGAGGCAGCAGUGGGGAAUUUUGGACAAUGGGGGCAACCCUGAUCCAGCCAUGCCGCGUGAGUGAAGAAGGCCUUCGGGUUGUAAAGCUCUUUCGGCCGGGAAGAAAUCGCACGGGCUAAUACCCUGUGUGGAUGACGGUACCGGAAUAAGAAGCACCGGCUAACUACGUGCCAGCCGCCGCAGUAACAC